AUGUGGGCGCCGAAACUUGAGACCAUCAGGAUCAGGGGAUGUUGGAGUCUCAGGCGUCUACCGGGGGUUGGACGUGAUACCAAGCCACCCAAGGUGGACUGCGAGAAGGAAUGGUGGGACAACCUUGAGUGGGAUGGGUUGAGGAUGUACCACCACCCUUCCCGCUACGAGCCGAACCACUCACUGUACUACAAGAAGGCUCAGCUGCCCAGAGGCACUGUACUCAGGUGA
rnacentral:rRNA from 1 species